rnacentral:rRNA from 1 species
AAUAUUGCACAAUGGGCGCAAGCCUGAGUAGCAGCCAUGCCGCGUGUAUGAAGAAGGCCUCGGGUUGUAAAGUACUUUCAGCAGUGAGAAGGUGGGUAUGUUAAUAGCAUACUCAUUUGACGUUAGCUGCAGAAGAAGCACCGGCUAACUCCGUGCCAGCAGCCGCGGUAAUACGGGAGGGUGCGAGCGUUAAUCGGAAUUACUGGGCGUAAAGCGCAUGCAGGUGGUUGUUAAGUCAGAUGUGAAAGCCCGGGGCUCAACCUCGGAAUUGCAUUUGAAACUGGCAAACUAGAGUACUGUAGAGGGGGUAGAAUUUCAGGUGUAGCGGUGAAAUGCGUAGAGAUCUGAAGGAAUACCGGUGGCGAAGGCGGCCCCCUGGACAGAUACUGACACUCAGAUGCGAAAGCGUGGGGAGCAAACAGGAUUAGAUACCCCUGGUAG